rnacentral:SRP_RNA from 1 species
CCACGAUAGGCGGGGGGCUGGCGGUCCCCUGUACCCGAAAUCCGCCAUACGCGGGGCCGAACUCCCACCCGAGGCGGCCUAUGUCGGGAAACAGUUCGUGCCGAAGGCGAUGAAGGCUGGGUCCUGUGCAACGGUGCGCCGUGAACCUGGUCAGGUCCGGAAGGAAGCAGCCAUAAGCGGUUGCACCGUGUGCCGCAGGAGUGCCUGGCUGGAGCUGGAGGCACGAAUAUGCCCCGGUUUAGGUUUGUCGACGGUGGGUUCGUGG